UGAGCAAUCUGCCCUUCUCUUCGGAAUAAGCGUUGGAAACGACGUCUAAUGCCGAAUACGACCUCCUUUCGCAUGAUCGGAGGUGGAAAGCUCCGGCGGAGAAGGAUGAGCUCGCGGCCUAUCAGCUAGUUGGUGAGGUAACGGCUCACCAAGGCGACGACGGGUAGCUGGUCUGGGAGGACGAUCAGCCACACUGGGACUGAGACACGGCCCAGACUCCGUAGGGAGG
rnacentral:rRNA from 1 species